ACAAGAAGAAUCAGGACUGAAUAAACUGCUGUUAGAAGGACUGGUGGUCGCAUCGUUCUUGCUGGUCGAGAGCGGGCGCGACACUUCAGCAUUUCUUUUGUUCUGUUGCUGUCUUCAAGUCUCUGCUCAGGAACACCUUCCAAGCAAGAUGAAGAAAACCACGCCCAUAGUGAAUGACUCACUCUGAAUCAGCCGACCACCAGAUCCUGAGCCCUUCAGCAAUGCAGCUCACCAUGUUGGCUUCUUUCCUGAGACAUGGAAUCUCAAGGCAGUGUGAAGCCAUUCAGCACUGCGGUCUGGCCAGCCUGCAUAAAUCGCCUGCUCUCUUUCACAGCCUUCCCUGAAAAUAAAGCGACUGCACACAGACGGCGGCGGCGUAUGAAAAUAAAGCCAGGGCUUCCUCCAAGCCUUUCUGCUUGCAUAGCAGUGCAGUGUAUUUCAAUUAACAUCCAACCUUCUCCAACAGUGCUACUUCAGUAUUUGUAAGAGCCUGCCUUUUAGAAUUUAAUACUCAGACAGCCAUUUUGCAAAAAAAAAAAAAAAACACAGCAGGUCCAUAAAAUAAGGGCUGUUUCAGAGAAACAGGGGAUGAUAAAGCCGUUGAAAAGGCUGGCGGUAUUGCAACAGCUGUGUCAUCCAUCAAAUGAUUAUCAUCUACUAUUAUUUUUUCUGAAGCUCUUCAAAACAGGAUUUCACAUUAGCUACUGUGGCUGUCUGUAAUUUGACAAACUCCAUAGCAAUUCAUUUCUAGAAAAUAAUUUCCUUUCUCAUGCCAGGAUUCAAAUAUGAAAACUCCAAGCAAAAGAGUGUAUCAACUGGUUUGAACUGAUACUGAUAUCUGAGACAAUAGAUUACCCCCCCUUCCCCCCCCCCCCCCCGCACACACACAUACACACAUCAAACCAGUUCCUCUACAAGUUAUUUCCAACCUUAUUAAAGUAACCAAGAACAAAAGAUAAACACACAGAAACAUCUCCAGAAAGACCUCAGAGUAUUGUAGCCCUCAGGUGCCUUGACAACUCAUGGCACAAAUGAUUGAUUUUCUGUUUGGUUCAGCACGGGGAUUAAAGCACCCAAAAGCAGCAGCACGAACCAGACGGACACAAGUUACAUUUUCAGCUCCCAGCUACAACUGUACAGCAAUAGAAACUUACAUAGGACACCCGUACUCGCCGGCGAUGUACCAGCCCGCAGCACUGCAUGAAGAGGUGGCAGAACGCAGUCAGAGCGUGGCUUCACCAAGCGGCACCGUGCCUCGGCUUCUCGUCACGGCCACUGUCCAUUUCUUCCCACCUUCCACUCCCAGGUAAUUUGAGAUCUUCUUUCAGGGGGCUGCCUACUAGCAGAAAUCUAGAAAAGGUAGCAUUUCUCUUCCUGAAGAAGCUAUUGCUAACACGGAGUUUUGCCUGUUCAAAUCAUCAGGGUUUCUGAGCGAGGCUUUUACAGUAGCCAUGCUCAACCCCAGAGAUUUUUCAAACCUCAGAGCCUUGCAUUUCAUCAGGCUGCAGUCUGCCGCUUCAGAAGGAGGCGGCCUACUCUGGCUGCUGUUUAUGUGACUGUUUCUGAGAACAACGCUCCUGCCGCUGUUUGGCUGUUACAUCGCCCUCCUCACUACGCACAGCCUGGCGAGAGCAUCCUUGAUUCACUGGUACCUCGGUAACAUUGUGGGCAUAUCUGAUUUGCUCUUUCUCCCUCCUCCCCUUCCACUGACAAAUGAGUGAGUCUAGACUUUAAUUCACUGUGGGUUCUUAGGACUCCAGAGCCACCCUCUACACUGUGAGAUGCAUUGUCCUGCAGUAUGUAUUUCACAGGAAUUUUAAGGAAGAUUGUUGGAGUAGCCUUAGGACCUGACUCACUCAGCCACUGCGGCUCCACAGUUUUUCUUUCUGCUUGCCAAAGACUCAUUUUCUACAUUGAAGCAUGUUAAAUAAGCACAGAUCUGGCAGGCAAAUGUGAUCAGAGUCAGACCUAAUUAAUUGGUUAAAUAAUAUAUCAUCUAUGAUUUUAACACACUAAGCCGAAUGCUCCGUAAGUCUGAGUGCUUAUAGGUCAAUACUCCAUGUA